AUGUGUGCGAGUUAACGGGCGAGUAAACCCGUACAGCGCAAGGAAGCUAAUUGGCGGGAUCUCCUAGCGGGUGCACCGCCGACCGACCUUGAUCUUUUGAGAAGGGUUCGAGUGUGAGCAUACCU
rfam:Beta vulgaris subsp. vulgaris Bvchr6.sca027.con0046.1, whole genome shotgun sequence.